rnacentral:lncRNA from 1 species
UCAAGCAGCCCUGCACAGAAAGGGUCUGAGAAAGAAAACCUUAAGUACCCUUCAAGGAGGAGGCUAAACAUUAAAAAACCUCACCCCUACAGCCCUGAAAUUGUUCAGGAAUUUAUGUAUCGAAAGAAGGAAGAAAGAAGGAAAAAAAGCCUAGAAGAGAAAAAGUCUUUGGUGCAGGCCACGGAGAUGAGAAAUAAGAGAUUGCAAGAAGUAUAUAGGAAACAGAAAGAAGCUAUUGGAAAGAAAAUACGUUCUGACCAGCUGUGCAGGCUCAUCAGGGAAACAGCUUCUGCAAAAGGAAGUCCUCAGUGUAAACUUGAGCAAGAGCACACCAAUGGUGGAAUCCUGGAGAGCAAUUUCAAGGCCUGUGUGGAUAAACCACCGUGUAUUCUAUUAAGUAAAGAUCACAGAAGCAGGAAUCAACUUCUAUAUACGGCUCAAUCACCUAAAAAAAGAGCAGAAUUAGCUUCUCCAGCACCACUGGAGUCUGAAUGCUGUUUUUUCAGUCCUCUGAAAUGUGAAGACCUGAGGGGCUGCUCUCCCCCAGCUCUGCAAACACCUCCUCUGAGCUUUUCCCUUCCCCAAAAAGAUGCAAAAUCUUACUCCCAGGACUUGAGUUCUGAUCUUUCUCCAUACAGAAGCAAACAGGAUCGAGUGAAAGCCUUACAUAGUCUAUCCAAGGAACUUGCAGAAAAGAUUGAGGUGGCAACUAAGA